rnacentral:lncRNA from 1 species
UCCAUAUUUCUGAAAAUGGAAGAGUUUAACCUAAUGAAACCGACUUCUAGACGACUAUAUAAGAGCGACAACAGCCCUCAAGCAAGGGAUCGACUUCUCCAAGGUUUAUAGACUAGGGUUAGACGGCUAGAAUUAGGGUUCUUAUAAAACAUCUUGUAACGAUACCUUGUUCUUGUCUAUUCAUCUAAUAAUACGUCUCUUCAAACCUAUUCUAUUAUUAAUCUCUUUAAAAAUCCUAAAACCCUUACGAAAUAACCACAAACACUCGAGGUUUACCAGCUUAUCC